rnacentral:rRNA from 1 species
GACGUAGGGCGCGAGCGUUGUCCGGAUUUAUUGGGCGUAAAGAGCUCGUAGGCGGCUUGUCGCGUCGACUGUGAAAACCCGCGGCUCAACCGCGGGCCUGCAGCCGAUACGGGCAGGCUAGAGUUCGGUAGGGGAGACUGGAAUUCCUGGUGUAGCGGUGAAAUGCGCAGAUAUCAGGAGGAACACCGGUGGCGAAGGCGGAUCUCUGGGCCUGUUCUGACGCUGAGGCGCGAAAGCUAGGGGAGCGAACAGG